GGAGAAUUGGGAGAGCGUCUGCCUUACAAGCAGAGGGUCACAGGUUCGAGCCCUGUAUCCUCCA
rnacentral:tRNA from 1 species